GACGAACGCUGGCGGCGUGCUUAACACAUGCAAGUCGAGCGGUAAGGCCCUUUCGGGGGUACACGAGCGGCGAACGGGUGAGUAACACGUGGGUGACCUGCCUUUAGCUCUGGGAUAAGCCUGGGAAACCGGGUCUAAUACCGGAUAUGACUCCGCGGCGCAUGUUGUGGGGUGGAAAGCCUUGUGCGGCUGGAGAUGGGCCCGCGGCCUAUCAGCUUGUUGGUGGGGUGAUGGCCUACCAAGGCGACGACGGGUAGCCGGCCUGAGAGGGCGACCGGCCACACUGGGACUGAGACACGGCCCAGACUCCUACGGAGGCAGCAGUGGGGAAUCUUGCGCAAUGGGCGAAAGCCUGACGCAGCGACGCCGCGUGAGGGAUGACGGCCU
rnacentral:rRNA from 1 species